AUCUAACAUCAGGAUGAGGAAUUUGGACUUUGUCCUGCAGAUGGUGGGAGUUCAAAAGACUUGCAAUCUGAGCAUUGACAUGAUGAGGCUGAAGGGAUGAAACUCAGUGGAGAAGAAGAGUUUGAAGAUCCAUGGGAGAGAGUUGGAAUGGAUGAGACCGGAGAGUCAAAUCACAGCAUCACAACCCCGUGCACACAGAGCUUCACCUAAAGGCAGCACGUUACUGGAAACAGUUUUAAAUUUUAGCACCAAAGAAAAUGUUUUGAACGAAAUAAUUUUUCAAGAAAAUGAAUUAAUGAAGAAGUAAAUUAAAAAGCGAGAGAAAACAUGCUACACCGAAUACAAGGCAAUCAAAAAUAAUCAAGGGGUUCAUUUUUCCAAGACAAGGAAUUGGAAAUAGAUGUUCUUUUAUUCUGCUGGAGUUGAAUCAGGGAGAACGUAUGUGACAAGCCACUGCUAGCUUCUUCUCAUCAGCUAUGGCCUGAGGAUGAAGGCAACACUUGGAGGAGAGUAGAGACAAGUUAAACCAAAAGAGAGAGAAACCUCUUCCCACUUAGCAUCAUUUUAACUCCUAGA